rnacentral:rRNA from 1 species
UACAGAGGGUGCAAGCGUUAAUCGGAAUUACUGGGCGUAAAGCGAGCGUAGUCGGUUAUUUAAGUCGGGUGUGAAAUCCCCGGGCUCAACCUGGGAAUUGCGUUGGAGACUGCAAGGCUGGAGUCUGGCAGAGGGGGGUAGAAUUCCACGUGUAGCAGUGAAAUGCGUAGAGAUGUGGAGGAACACCGAUGGCGAAGGCAGCCCCCUGGGUCAAGACUGACGCUCAUGCACGAAAGCGUGGGGAGCAAACAGG